rnacentral:rRNA from 1 species
CGGGUGAGUAACGCGUGGGUAACCUGCCUCAUACGGGGGGAUAACAGUUAGAAAUGACUGCUAAUACCGCAUAAGCGCACAGUGCUGCAUGGCACAGUGUGAAAAACUCCGGUGGUAUGAGAUGGACCCGCGUCUGAUUAGCUAGUUGGUGGGGUAACGGCCUACCAAGGCGACGAUCAGUAGCCGACCUGAGAGGGUGACCGGCCACAUUGGGACUGAGACACGGCCCAA